UGCUGGUUGGUCUAUAGCCAUCUAACUUUAAUGCCUUAGAGCAUCUUUAACCCAUAGCACUAUUUUAGUGUCAAAACUACACUAUUUUGGUGUAGUUUUGACAAAAAAAAAAAAAUUAUUCUCCAACCACAACACUAAACUUCACACCAAAAGUUAUUUUAUAAUAUUAUAUAUAUUUAACUUUUUAUUUAUCAUUUAUUUAAUUGUACAAUUUAUUAAUAAAAUAAGUAAAUAGUGUUUUAGUGGAGUGAAUAGUGUUAUAGUGCAGUGAAUAGUGUCACACCAAAUUUGGUGUAAAAUUAUAGUGUGAUACUAAAAUGGUGUGAUUUUUGCAGUUGGAUUGGAAAAGGUUUUAGUGUCAAAAUCACACUAAAAUUGUGUUUUGGAGUUGGGUUGGAGAUGGCAAAUUACAAUUUAACCUAAAGGCCCAUAGAGAUGACAGAUACUGGGCCGCCUGUUGUAGGAAAGUAAGAAGGAUUCUCGUCAAUAUAUAAAAUCGUUAUUAUGUAGAAGACUGCAUCUUCGAGUGAUAUUCUUCUAGAAGAUGGGGGUUCUGGUCGGUGUGGUUAGGUAUGUGUUUGAAUUCGACAUUGAAGAAGGAAGAGUGUAAAAAUUCGCAGAGAUGGACGUUGUGAGAUACGGAUACCGAAGGUGAAGGAGAGCGUAGGAGAAAGUAAAUUUUAAGAUUUUUUGAAAUUUGAAUUGGUGCGUUUUUUAUCGGCCUAAUUUAUAAAUUCCGUUAGGCCCAUAUUGAAACCCAUCUAAUAUGCCGGACCGUUGAGAGUGAAGUAAGAUCGUACGGUUGAGAGUAGUGAAAAUUGCAGGACCGUCCGAUUGGAGUAUCUAACGGAUCAACAAAAGAUCUCAUACCGGCUCGGCUCUGGUAUUUGAAUAUAUAAUAUCCGUUAGGAGCCGAUUGCAAAUGAAGACAUACUUCUCGUCUCGUCUCUCUCUAUCUCUUCUUACAAACUGGUGAGAUUCUUAGAUUAGUAUGCUUUUUUCGAUUUCUCUAAUCUCUAGAUCUCGAAUUUGCUCUUGUUCGUUCUCAUCUUGUUUAGGGUUCGCGUUAAACUAAUGCGAUCGUGCUAUCUUGUUUUGCAAUUUUGUGAGUUAGGGUUUCAAGUUUCCUUAAUCGUUCGUUGUUUGUUUUAGUGAUGUUGAAUCUACACGGAAGCGCUCGUCGUUGAGUGUGUGUUUGUGUGGAGAAGCCAUAUCAACUGAAGAUAAGUUCGAAUCUGUGAGCCGAACAGCCGAAGCAACAAAACAGAUAAGCUCUUUUUACUUCCUCUUUUUUUUUUUGUUUUCUUGAUUGAACAACAAAAUUCGUCUUUUAAUAAGAUUUUCAAAGGUUUUUAUCCAAUCCAAGAUAUGAGCUUUUUUUUUGCUUUGGUUUUUAUCAAAACAGAGAAGCUUUUUUUUUUGGUUUUUCAUCAAACCCCAAAUAGGAGCAUAGGUAGAGACACUAAUCUAAUAGUGUGCUGACAUAUUCUUAUUUGGGGACAUUGUCCGGUUGCCUGAUGCCUAGACCCAUAGAAAUUAUUAAAUCAUGGCCCCAACAACUAUUGGUUGGUGGUAGCGCAUGUCCAAAAGAUGGAAAGUGCCUGGUUGGUGGUAGUUAUAUGGACUGGAUUGCGUCGUCCCACAAGGCCCAUCAGUUAGUAGGCCCGGCUCGCUAGAAUACGGAUUGUCGGCUCAGCUCGGUGACGGAACAUGGGAACGGCUCUCGACUGCUUUUAAAGCGACUCGAGCGAGCGACUAAAAGCACUCCCCUCAACGGCUUGACGAAGCGCUUUAUUCUGAAGGCCCAAGGAGAUAAGACGAACUAGGUCAAGAGGAUCGGAUCGACUAUAUAAGGAAGGCUAGAAGCACCAAGAAAGGGAUCCGAAAUCGACUACACAUACUUUCGGCAGUUAGAACUAGGGUUCAUUUUCUCUUUCUCGCUGACUUGUAUUUCCCGGCGAAAUAGCUGUCGUCGAUUUUCUUUCUACCGCACAUUUCCUUAUUUGUAAACCGACUAAACAUUAUCUGAUCUAAUAAACGUUUUUGCCUCGA